rnacentral:rRNA from 1 species
CAGUCGCCGCGGUAAUACAGAGGGUGCAAGCGUUAAUCGGAUUUGCUGGGCGUAAAGGGCGCGUGGGUGGUUAUGUAAGUGAGAUGUGAAAUCCCCGGGCUCAACCUGGGAACUGCAUCUUAUACUGCGUAGCUGGAGUGCAGUAGAGGGUAGUGGAAUUUCCGGUGUAGCGGUGAAAUGCGUAGAUAUCGGAAGGAACACCAGUGGCGAAGGCGGCUACCUGGACUGACACUGACACUGAGGCACGAAAGCGUGGGGAUCAAACAGGAUUAGAUACCCGCGUAGUCCCUGUCUCUUAUAC